rnacentral:rRNA from 1 species
UCGGGAAUUUUGGGCAAUGGGCGAAAGCCUGACCCAGCAACGCCGCGUGAGGGAUGAAGUAUUUCGGUAUGUAAACCUCGAAAGAAUGGGAAGGAUAAAUGACGGUACCAUUUAUAAGCUCCGGCUAACUACGUGCCAGCAGCCGCGGUAAUACGUAGGGAGCAAGCGUUGUUCGGAUUUACUGGGCGUAAAGGGCGCGUAGGCGGCGCGGUAAGUCACUUGUGAAAUCUCUGAGCUUAACUCAGAACGGCCAAGUGAUACUGCUGUGCUAGAGUGCGGAAGAGGCAACCGGAAUUCUUGGUGUAGCGGUGAAAUGCGUAGAUAUCAAGAGGAACACCUGAGGCGAAGGCGGGUUGCUGGGCCGACACUGACGCUGAUGCGCGAAAGCCAGGGGAGCAAACG